CCUGUAGUGGGUUAAAAUAAACCUUUAGUUUGUGAUACUAAAAAUAUAUUAUAUCUACAGGU
rnacentral:tRNA from 1 species